GGGGUGGGAGGAAGGAUUCCAUUCCUUCCUCGUAUGAUCGUGGAGUCCCAAUCUUCAGGGCUUUGAGUGUUGGGAUCGGAAUAGUUUAAUGAGUCAGUCUCCUGAGCCCACAUAGUGCCCAGGAAAGCCAGGAACCUCCAGCUGAGGCCGGGAGUUUUCUGACUAACGUAAGACAGCUGGAGGUUAGAGAACAAAUGGCUCCUGGUCCGAAGAUGUAAACGCGGAAUCCCCAUGUCCCAUCAGACCACCACCAAUGGAAUGCUAACAACAGACAAAACUUAGGGCAAACUGUCACCUAGACACUUCUAUAAGUUAUUUACAUGUACUAACUCAUUUAAUCUUCCUAGUAACCCCACAAAGUGGAAACGAUUAUCCCCACACUGUAGAUGAGAAAACUGCAGCAUCCAGGGUAGGGUUGCUGUCGGGGCGGGGUUUCUUCGACUGACAAUAAUCGUAACGAGAAUCUCCUCCCGCUAUAACUGUCUCCGGCAAAGGGAAUGAAAGUUAGAGUUCAACGUGGCAAGAGGAAAAAAUGUGUGAACAGGGAAUCUACCCCCCCUACUGGCCUGCGUCUCAUACUGCAUCAGGAGAGAUGAAGGUCAGAACAGCGGAGGGACCUUAGGAGCACUGUGUCUGGGAAGGGGCGGGGCUUAUGACCAGGCGGAGCCAAAUGCCCCGCCCACUUUGAUAGGACGAGCCAUUUCCGUCCGCGGAGAAACAGAGGCAGCAGCCGGCCGAGUUGCGAGCAGAGCGCCUCCGGCAGGCCCUCCCUGGUCGGAAGCGGCGAGUGAGCCAAGCGGCGGGCAAGGGCCGGCUCCCAGGAUGGCCAGGGUGGAGGCCCAGGGCCGCCUGUGGCUGGAGAGCCCCCCUGGGGGAGCGCCUCCCAUCUUCCUGCCCUUGGGUGGGCAAGCCCUGGUGCUGGGCCGAGGACCCUUGACGCAGGUUACCGACCGGAAGUGCUCCAGAAACCAAGUGGAGCUGGUCGCUGACCCUGAGACUCGGACGGUGGCAGUGAAACAGCUGGGAGUUAACCCCUCAACUGCCGGGACUCAGGAGCUGAGAACAGGGUUGGAGGGUUCUCUGGGGGUGGGGGACACGCUGUAUUUGGUCAAUGGCCUCCACCCGCUGACCCUGCGCUGGGAAGAGGCUCACACGCCAGAAUCCCAGCCAGACACUCCACCAGGCACCCCUCCUGUGGCCCCGGAGGAGGAGGAGGAGGAGGAUGAACAGCAGAAAAAGCGGAUAAGGAAGUCAUCCCCUGGCUGGGAGAGCUUCCAGAAGCUGCUAGUGUUCACGGCACCUGGUGUGAAGCCCCGGGGCAAGGUGGCCAGUUUUGAUCUGGAUGGGACCCUCAUCACCACACGUUCUGGGAAGGUCUUUCCCACUGGCCCCAGUGACUGGAGGAUCUUGUACCGAGAGAUUCCACAGAAGCUCCGGGAACUGGCUGCCGAGGGUUACAAGCUGGUGAUCUUCACCAACCAGAUGGGCAUUGGACGCGGGAAGCUGCCAGCGGAGUUGUUCAAGGCCAAGGUGGAGGCUGUGGUGGAGAAGCUGGGGGUCCCCUUUCAGGUCUUGGUGGCCACGCACGCAGGCUUGUACCGGAAGCCGGUGAUCGGCAUGUGGGACCACCUGCAGGGGCAGGCCAACGAGGGCGUGCCCAUCUCCAUCGGGGACAGCGUCUUUGUGGGAGAUGCAGCUGGACGCCCAGCCAACUGGGCCCCUGGGCGCAAGAAGAAAGACUUCUCUUGCGCUGACCGCCUGUUUGCCCUCAACCUGGGCCUGCCUUUCGCCACGCCAGAGGAGUUCUUUCUGAAAUGGCCCAUGGCCCGCUUCGAGCUCCCAGCCUUUGACCCGAGGACCGUCUCCUGCUCUGGGCCUCUCUGCCUCCCCGAGUCCAGCUCCCUCUUAAGCUCAGACCCAGAGGUGGUUGUCGCCGUGGGAUUUCCUGGGGCUGGGAAGUCCACCUUCCUCCAGGAGCAUCUCGUGUCGGCCGGAUACGUCCACGUGAACAGGGACACUCUGGGCUCAUGGCAGCGCUGCGUGACCACGUGCGAGGCGGCCCUGAAGCAAAGGAAACGGGUCGUGAUUGACAACACGAACCCGGACAUCCAGAGCCGAGCCAGGUACCGGGGUCCCAGGGGCGGCCUCUGUAGGGUGGGCCCCGGGCCCUUUGCCAGCCCCCCACUUCCCCGGCCCCCACAGGUACAUCAAGUGUGCCCGAGACGCAGGCGUCCCCUGCCGCUGCUUCCUCUUCAGCACCACCCUGGAGCAGGCACGCCACAACAACCGGUUCCGGGACAUGACGGACUCCUCUCACAUCCCCGUGACCGACAUCGUCAUUUACGGCUACAGGAAGCAGCUCGAGGCCCCCACGCUGGCCGAAGGCUUCUCCGCCAUCCUGGAGAUCCCGUUCCGGAUCCACGUGGCGCCGCAGCUCGAGCGGCUGUACCGCCAGUUCUCAGAGGGCUGAGCCAACGCCCACCCCCACCUGCUCCCCACCCCACAAUAAAUGCUGUUUUUCUUCAUGUUUGACCAGCAUUUUGCUCCCAGCCGGGCUGGGAGCACAGACCCACCGGCCUGGUCUCCCAGGAAGGCACUGCUGGCAACUUUGCCUCAAACUAAACCCUCAGCCCACCUUGGGGACAACUGCAUCUCGCGGACGGGGGUUUCGGCUUCUCCAGCCUGCGGCUGCUGGCGCUCCACAUGGGCGCCAGGGCAUCCUGGCUGGCAGGGCCCGAGUGGAGUUCGCUGCACGCGGCUGCCAGCUGCAGAGCAAGCCCGGAGUUUUAGCAAGACUGACCCGGGGCCAAGAGCUGGAGCUCCGAUUCCGUGAGAAAUGAGGUGCUCUGCAUGCUGGACUUGAACCCCAGGGCUAUGGCCUGGACCUGCAGCAGCGAGGGGCGCCUGAGAGCCCGGCCAGGCCUGCCGCGUGCCACCAGUGCCAGAGGACUGGAACCGGCCUGGCAUCGCUUUGUGUUUGCUUCCAGCUAAGUGAGGCUUAUGGAACCCGCAGGACAAGGAGGGCAGCCUGGCAACGCCGGGAGUCGGGGGAUGGACCCCAGGAGCAGCCGGCCAGCUGUGGAAAGACUCUGGAAGACACGGCCCAGCAAGCACCUUGCAGACCUGGCAGCUCCGUGAACUGCAGCUUCCCCUCCUGGCUCAGGUUCCGCUGCAGGACCUGCUGCUGAUUGGCGAUGACGCGCCGGAUGCCGUUGACGAAGUUGCUCUGGUCAUGGGGGAUGAGGCCGAUGAAGAUCUUCUUCUCAGAGGAGUACAGGAGCAUGAGCACGCGGAUCUCGCACGAGGCCUUGUAGGAAAAGUGCACGCAGCCGGCCUGGCGGUGUGGAGCACAGUGUCACGGGCGGGCCCUCAGCGCAGACGCUCCUCCCCAUUGAGACACGGGCGCAAACCGCACGGGUCAGCGCCCUGGCAGACGGGCACCACGGAGCACGCUGGGCCUUCCCAGCCGCCGUCCUCAGCCCUGUCAACACUCCCACAGGACACCACAGGUGCCUGCGCGAGGACCAGUGAAUGGGCUCUACAGCCGAGCCCAGGAGGCUGCCCGACGAGCUCCAGCGAGACUGUGGCCCCCACGCCGGCCAGCCAGUACCCAGGGUGCCCACGGGACCAGCCACGGCCGUGACCGCGACCACGCAGGAAGGCCGCGGCGGGGGAGAAACACCAGGGGCCAAUCUGGCCCCAGGAGGCCGGGCUCCAGGGCUCCGUCCACUCUGCGACCCCCAGGCCAGCUGAGGGCGGGGAAGCUGGGCGGCGCUGAUCCACUGCGAUGCCGCCGUCACCGCGGCUUGGGACACGGCUCAGCAUCACAGCGACCGCAGUGCCGACAGGCACCAAUCGCUCCCUGACGCCUUUCACAGGAUCCUCUCUCCAGGGCCCAGGGGUCACCGUCCCCAUCUUACAGUGGCACAGCCAUGAUGACUUCGGCUGACUUAGAAACAUUACGCUAAUUCGAGGACAGCUAUGACCUGGUACAGCAAACACCCACAAAGCGGACACAGACAGUUGCGGCUUCAGAAGCACGAGGGCCAAGCGCCUCACUUCACAGAUGGAGAGACCGAGGCCCGCAGAGAGGGGAGAACUGGCCAAGGCCCACCAGCAGUUUUUAAACACCAAGCGGCUCUGGCUCUGUCUGUCCCACCAUCAGCCCGGCCCUGGGCCCCACCAGCCCACUCACAAAGCCGUUGUCCAUGAUCCGGCACAGACUCUUCAGCGUCUCCAGGUCCUUGGUGAAGUGGAACUGCACCAGGCGGGAGUUCCGGAAGAGCGGCACCAGGGUGGUCUGCAGGGAGGCCCCGAGGUGGCUGGGCCAGGCGCCAGGGCCCCGCAGCCCCUCAUGCCCACACGUCGGCAGGCCCCGCCCCGCCUACCGCCACUUGCUGGACAGGCAGCCUCCCCCAGGGCCCCAAGGUCGAGGCAAGCCGAGUGCCCCCUUCCCCACUCACCAGCAGCUGCUGCGGGAUGAGCUGCAUGUACAGCUUCCGCGGCCACUGCUCGGUCCUCCUGCAGGGAUGCGGGGACGAGGGUCAGGAGGCCAGGCCUCACCGAGAUGCCGCCCCCGCCCCCUGCCCGACACUCACAGGAUCUCCCCUUGGUUCACGUAGAUGUGCGACGGCAGCCACCUCUUAGACCGACUGUUAGGCUCAGGCCUGGGCUUUUGGGGGGUAAGAAGAGGGGAGCCGUCAGGAGUGGGAGGAUGCCCUGGUCCUGAGGUCACCCAGGCCCGCCCAGGGCUCACCUCCUGCCACUCCAUGACUCCACUCCAUGCCAGGAACUUGUUGUUGACCAUCUGGACAGGGCCCGCGACGCCACCAGGUCCCACUGCCUGGGGAGGAGACAGGUGGGCUGGUGCCCCCAGGAGUUCCCCAAAGAACGCUGCCCAGACCCCUCCACGCCCCCAGUCCGUCAGUCCCAAGCUUAUCUACCUGCUGCCCCCAGGGCCCAGCCUGGCCCGGCCCGGCCUCUAGUCUGCCCACAGACCCAGAGGAUUCCCCAGAGCGGGCCCUGCCCCUCACAGCACACCCCAUGCCCUGGGCCAAGCCCCCGCCAUCAGCCUGGGGGACAUGGCUCACAGGGUCUGCCUCUAAGAACUGGGCGGCUGUAUAACUUGCCACACAAACUGGGACACUUUUGGGUGAAGGGGUCACUGAAGAGCUGGUAAGGCGUGAGCCAGGAUUUGAGGUCACCCUCCUGCCACGAGUGUGCCCGCCUGCCCAUCCGCCUCCCUGCUCCCCAUGGGCACCCCUCCUGCCGGGAACCACCCUGUCAGACCCCUCGACCCCCUCACCCUUCAAAGCCUCAGACACGUGUGGCGGCCGGGCCCAAGGGCACACCUGUUUGCGGGUGGUGAUGACCUGCCGGAUGGCAUUGACGAAGCCGCUCUGGUCGUAGGGGAUGAGGCCCAUGAAGAUCUUCUUCUUGGACGAGUACAGGAGCAUGAGCACGCGCACCUCGCAGGGGGAGAUGUGGGGGAAGAGCAUGCAGCCCGCCUGUGGGUGGGGGUGGGGAGGGAACGAUCAUCACGGGACAGAAAUCCUCAAGGUUAACACCAGGACCCUAAAUGACUGGUGUGUAGCCAGAACGUGUCGUUCUGGGAGCCUGUGAACGUGCACCCUGGUGUCCCCCCCACCGUGACUCUGGGGUCAGGACUGGGGCCCCAUGUGCCGGGUGAGGGUCCUGAGAGGGCUCCACCUGCCGCCCACGUGCCCCGAGGUCAUCCCUGUCCUGUGGAGUUUGCUGCUGGGCCCCGCUGACAGAGGCCACCAGGCCCGGGGGUUAAGAGCACAAACGCAGGACCAGACUGCCUGGGAGUAACCCUGGCUCUGCUACCUCCUAGCUGUGUGACCUAAGGCAGGUCACCCCUGGACCUCAGUUUCCCCACGUGUAAAACAGCACAACAACGGCGCACAGAGUAAGCGCCACAUAAACGCUCAUUACACAAGA